rnacentral:lncRNA from 1 species
AAAUUCAAAAAACCCAUAGCAAUAGAGAGUAUACUACAAGAUUUCCAUAACCCUGACAAAUAAACUUAGCCACUCAUGAAUAAAAUGGAAAUCACAAUAGAAAUAUUCAUCAUACCAAAACUUAGAAAGAUCUUGGUGGAGAAGAUGAAUAGGGAAAAUAAGAGAGUAAAACAUUUCUCUCUUUCUCCUCAAGCUAAGCCGCUUUCUCUUGUUUUCAAAAUAAUACCAAAUAAUGAAUAAUCCCUAAAAAUUCAGCCAUAAGGCUUUUAAUAACAUCCUUCUCUAAUAAAUUGCUACUGCAUCCUUAACUAUUUAAAAAUAUUGAGUUUGCCCGGGAAAAAGUUCCCAUAUAUCACAUUCAGUCCAAAAGCUACUUUCCUUUUAUGUGAAGUUUCCUUUGCUAUCCACAGGUCUCCAAAGUGUUGUAAUCUUCCUCAUUAGUACCUGAAAAGCAUUCUAAUCACAUAGGUCAACUCACUUAACUAAAAAUAGACAAAGUGCAAGAAUUAUGUAUUUUAUCCUCAAAACUUAGCUAACACAUGGGUUAGUUAUGGUGCUUAGACAUAUAAUACUCCCAACAUCAUUGACCAAAUAAUUUAAUCCAUAGUAUUGAACAUUUAGAAAUCACCUAUGUGAGGGUAAAGUGGAAACUGCUUCAAGGAGAAUGUUAGCAAAGGCCUAUUCUCUAAGAUCUCAUGAAACUGGGACGUGUUCAUGGUUGAAAAGAACAAAACCAUGAGAAUCAUAAAUGGUAAAAGGAUUAUUUUCUGACAUGUGUUGUCUAGGUGUACACUAGAGCUCGAUGGUUCAAAGAUAUCAAAUCUACUGGUUGACCGAGUGCAUCCGAUACAUGUUCACUACGGAAAGUUCAAAGGGAAACCCACUUAUCCAAAUGCAAUCAGUCUUUGCUUGAUGAUCACAUACUUGUCCGUUAAAAGUUUUAAGAAAAAUAGCCAUUUCCCAUUCAUGUGGGGGAUUGUUGGGUUCAAAGAAUAUGAAAAAAUAUGAAUGAAAAAUGAAGGCCAUUUUAUCCUAGGAGGAAGAUUCCAAAACCUCGAGUACAAUGAGGGGAAUUAUUCCUUAAGGACACUCUGUGAAUUUGAAAGACUUGGUCUUAAAUUGUGUUUCAUCUCUUUUCUAAAUCUUAACACACUUCUUAGAUAGAUUAUUCAUAAUCUAGUGUUGAAGGCGUUACAAAACUUCAUAAGUGUUCUUGUAUUAGACUUGAACUAGUGUUGAAGUUUGUGUUUCUUAUUUACAGAUUCUUGUACCCAAAUACAUAUAAGAUAACAUGAAUCUCUGCUCAUUUAACACAAGUACAUGAAGCUUUGUUCUAUUGAUCACAAGUACAUGAAGCCUAGUUCUAUUUAUGAGUGGUUGGUCCAACCGAACUGUAUGAUUCUACAGCAAUACGAUUGCAAAAUUCGAUGAUUGGCUUCUUUAUCUAUAUUCAUUAUCAACACUUUGGACGUAGAAAUCUAUUUUUAGGAUUUCAUAACAAUUAAGAAAAAAGUAACAUUAAAACUUUUAUGUGCUAACAACUCUCAUAAUUUUGACUUAUGGACAUUAAUUUUCCAUCAAAAAGCAGGAAAAGAAUUAUUAAAACAAAGGGGAAAAAAGAUGAUAAAAGCACCAAUAAUGAUUGAAAUUUAAAUCAACAAGCUCUAUGUUUAGGAAAAGUUUUUAUGUGUGAUUGUACUUACUACAACACCCUCUUAUGCUUUCUAUUUUUGAAAAAAAAAACUUUACUCAAAGGGCAGCCUAGUGCAUUAAAUAUUCCUCUAUGCACAGGGGGGAAUUCUUUCACUAGGUAUGUUGUUGUUAUUAAGUCAUUUAUCUCCGGUUAAUCCUAUGUUCUACACAAUAACUCAGUUAAAAAUAUCUACCUUGCAUGCAAGUGACUCUUUAUCUUGGGAUCAGUUUCACAAAGUCUAGUAAAAGGCUACGAAUGACAUAUUCGGAGAACAAUUAAGAAUAAAAUGACAAUUCUCACAGUUCAGGCAAAGUAAGUAACCUGAUCUAAAAUAUAACAUUCACGAAUAAGAGGAACGACAAGAAAGUCUUCAAUCAAUUGUUCUUUUAAAUUCCUUAAUUCCCUUUCUAUUUCUGAAAGUCCCUCAGAAUCCUUUAUCAAAGAAAAUCAAUGAAAGAAUCUAAAUAGUCAAAGCAAACCCAAGAAAACAGAAGUGUGAGGUCUAAGAAGUCAUACCUGUUCUUUUCUCUUUAUGUAAUAUACUAUAUAUUGGAAAUUGAUACAUUAGAAAGAAUCAGGGUGUACAUGGUGAGUGGAUGUAGCAAAAGGAGUGGUCCUUCCUCUCUCAGAAGGUGGACAAAAGCUUGCUAUACAUGCUUCCAGUGUAGCAAAGCAGCAGGCAUUAUUUUCCUUUGGUGCAUUUUCUCCUAAACUCUAAAUUUUUUCAACAUUUAAGAUCUAUAUUCCACUGUUACUAAUAUGUCCAAACUGAAUGGUCUAUAAAAUGGCAAAAUUGAUAUUGACGGACAUUUAAUAACGAAAUUGCAAGUUUCCUAACUAUAGGAAGAUAUUAGGCAUAUGGUGUUAGGACAUAGUCUUAUCUCGCAUUUGUUAUACAGGUUUCUAUCACCUAUCCAAUAAAAGAAGGAAGUCUAAUUUCCA